rnacentral:rRNA from 1 species
CGCCUUCUGACCCCAUAGAAGGUCCAGCCUGCCCAGUGACAUCAGUUAAACGGCCGCGGUACCCUAACCGUGCGAAGGUAGCGCAAUCACUUGUUCUCUAAAUAAGGACUAGUAUGAAUGGCAUCACGAGAAUUUUACUGUCUCCCUCUUCCAAUCAGUGAAACUGAUCUUCCCGUGAAGAAGCGGGAAUUAACCCACAAGACGAGAAGACCCCAUGGAGCUUCAAACUCAGCACCAAUUGCCUAACCUAAGACCACAAUAUCAGGCAAAUCUGCACCGCUAGUUUUAGGUUGGGGUGACCGCGGAGAAAAACACAUCCUCCACAAUGAAAGGACCUAGUUUCCUUAUUAAAGAGCCACAACUCAAAAAAUCAAUAAAUUGACAUAAAUUGAUCCAAAAUAUUGAUCAACGAACCAAGUUACCCUGGGGAUAACAGCGCAAUCUACUUAAAGAGCCCCUAUCGAUAAGUGGGCUUACGACCUCGAUGUUGGAUCAGGGCAUCCCAGUGGUGCAGCCGCUACUAAAGGUUCGUUUGUUCAACGAUUAAAGCCCU